CUUUCAUUCAGAAAGAAAUCACACAACCCCAGCCAAAAAACCCUAGCACUGUAAGCCUACACCACCGCCGCAAGGAGUGGCAUAUUGCCGCGUCCGUCGCACUUAAAGUUCGCCAUCCGUCCGUCUAUCUAGCUUCCCUCGUGAUCCAAGUCUUCAACCCCUCUUCGCUGUCACCGAUCGCGGCUGCUUCCUCGAGCUCGGCGUCCAUCGUCUUUGUCUGCUUAGCCGCGCUUCCGUCGCCGUUUGUUUGCCGUUCAAGUUCGCGUCUUCGUUCAGCUGUCGUCUUCGUUUGCGUUCUUUGCCGUUCACGUUCGCUCGGCGUUCACUGUUCGCGUUCACUCGCCGUUCACCGUUCGAGUUCGCAUUCGUGUUCGUCUGGAAGCCACGUUGCUCUGCUUCAAACACUGCGACCAACCCGCGCGCUCCACCUAGCCGUCGAACUGCUCUCUUUUGUCGCCGCCCUGCUUGCACAACCCUUAUCAUGGCUCACUUCAACCAAGUUCCAUUGGCUGCUGGAGAUUCCAUUGCCAUUUUCUCUUCAUUGAAUAUAAGAGCCGCUAUUUUGUCUAACCUUGACAACAUGUUUUUACUACAUUCUUCACUGUUGGGGUUGAACAUGUAGUUUGUAGUUGCCUUUCAUAAAACUUCUGUGUACAGAGGGUAGGACUAAUUUCCUGUAAAUCAGAAUUUUUCCAUCCAAUAGCAUCUUCGUGGCCCUUCAAAACUCUAAGCAGCUUUCCUUCUUCCAAGUCACUUAAAAAUGUACCGAGUAUAACAUGAAGAUUUUUUUCCCCCAUGAAAGAUAAAUUUAAGUGACUAGGAAUCUAUUUCAAUUCUACUUUUGGUGGCUCCUCCUUCACUGAAGGAGAAUUAUCAUCAAGGUUUAAAUUAUCAUAGCAAGGUGUGGACACUAGUGGUUGAGCUUCACGAAGUUGUUACAGACUUCAAGAUCAUGACACUCAGUUUCUUCCACACAUUAUUGUUAACCAAAUAAGCUUCCAAUGCAGUACCAUAAGAUGAUACUUUAAUUUGAAAGAAGUAUUUACUCAUUUGUCCAUAGCUUUCACUCUAAAACAUUGUUGAGUUUAAAGAAAAAUAACAAUAAAUUGAUGAGGACAAACAUUAGUGGUUGGGUUGAGAGCCGAAAAAUGUGAGUAAUGUGUUCAUUGUGCAGAAAAAUAAAAUGUUCAAAAACUAGUCCAAAGCUUCCUUGACAGCACUUAUUCCCUUCUUUGGCCUGUAAUUAAGUGUUCAACUCUCUAAACAAGCAAUUACUUUUCUCUUAUAACCAUAACCCAUGUGACUAACUUUAAAUCAAGGAGAAAAAGAUGUUUCACAAGCAAAAAGGUAUGUUCAGAUUAGGUUUAAGCAAAGUGAAAAAAGGUGGAUCACCAAACUUGUGCACCAAAAGGGAAAAAGAGGAAAAAGUCAAGGAUUGAAGGCAAAAGAGAAAAAUCAAAUUAGAUUUGGUUCAGAGGCAAAACAAAGAAGAAAUCUGUCAUCUUUAUAGAAUCACUCUAACUUGUUGAAGUUACCAUCUUUUAACUGCACAUUUUUGGGCAAGAAAAAAAAAUAGAAGUUGUUUUACUCUGUUAUAUAUGAAAGGUCAAUAGUUCAAAUUUUUGAAGUAAAAGAAAAAGGAAAAAAGAGAAACAACUAGGUAAAGAUUCAAGUCAACUCUAUAAUCCAUGAAAUUAUUGCUGUUGUCUCAUCUCUUAUUUGCGUCUCUAAUAUGAUUUAUGAGAAAGAAGAACAAAGUCAAAGAUGUUCAACUAAACUCAAGUUUUGGAAGCUAUAAGAAUAAACGGCUAAAAAUUGAAGUAAGUAGAGUUAGCACACUGUUUGGGUCUUCAUAGCUUUCUAGUUAUACCUUCUUUUUCUUCAUGAUUUUACAUUGAAUUUUCUAUUCUUCAAUUUUAUUCUUCUUUGUCUUUUCAAUCAAUGGAAAAAUGCAAAUAUGUGAGAUAUUAGUCAAAGCCAUUGAGAGAAAAUGUAAAGAAAGUAAUCAUGGAGAAAAGUCAGAAAAUUAUUUCGAUCUCUUUUGUAUGUAUUGUUUUGUAUUUAUGAUACUGAGGGGAUUCUCUUACUAAGUUGGAUGAGCACUUAGAUGUUGAAAGUCUAAGAGUGAACCUAGCUAAAUCAAACUUAACUAGAAGUUUGGUUUGUCUUUGAUAGGAUUAAGUUGAAUAAUUGGAAAUUGGUGUUUGUAAAUUUUUGAAAAGAUAGUAAAAGUUCUACUACAGUUGUGGUGGAGACCGGAUGUAAGUCACGUUCUACAUGGUGGUUAAACCAGAAUACAUGGCUGUGUCAUUUACUCUUCUCUAUUCUGUUUCUGUUUUCUUUUGAUAUGAAACAAAAUGAAAUUGUCUCCUGCAUAAUCAAUCUCGUAGACGUUACAGCAACUUAGUGUAUUCAAAAGCAACUUGUUUGCUUUAUUACUGAUCAAUCGUCAAGAGACAAAACUAAAUUGUGCUUGCAUAAUCAAUAUUUUAGACUUAUCAGCAACUCUGAUUUAAAUCUAGUUUGAAGUUAAAGUGUACAAAUUUAAAAGAGGCCAUAAAUUCAAUCCCCUCCGGCCCUUCUCUAGGCCAUUGAAAAUCUUCAAUCGAUAUCAAGAUCUAGGUCUUAAGAAAUCAAGCUUCACAGCUUGAAGCAAAGAUCUAAUGGCCAACAACAUGGGUGCAAAUAUUAUAUGGCGUACAUACUUACUGAGAGUUAGUCCAACAACAGACCAUCAAGAUUUACUUGUCGUCAUGUUUGUAAAGAACAUACCAAUUAAAAAUCUGCUAAACAUAUUCACAACAUUCAAAAUACUUAAUCAAAAUAAACUACGUUAAACUUAGUUAAAAAAAUACAUUAUAUGUUGAAAUCAAAUAAAAUCAGAGGUAAAUGUACAUUCUAA